UAAAAGUUAAUAAAAACUUGAGUAUAGGUAAUACUCAACAUAAGUCAAAUUGAUCUAAACAAUAGACAUACAUGUGAAAAAUUUAGCAUGAAUUUUUCAAUUUAUUACAUGCAGAAUAGUUUUAUUAGUACUCAAAAUUUGUUUAUAUACUUUUUGAGAUGUAGAGUAUUUGAUGCAUCUAUAUUUAAACUAUGAAUAAAACUUGAAAAAAAAUAUGGAUUCUUUAAGAUGGAAUGUCCAAGUUGGUAAAAACUAUUGUUCAAAGGAAUAUUCUAAUGGUGGCAAAUAUUUCAUUGUUUAAACUUUCUUCUUGUAAUUAAUAUUUUAAAAAAUUAUAAACUAAGAUAAAUCUUUUUUGUGGUAUUUCCAAUUUAUGAUGUAAAUUAAAUUAUACAUCAUGGAGAGGUUUAAAAUGAUAAUUAAUUUUAGAACUGAUUAUAGAAUGUUUUAUAUUUGCCUAAUGUUUUAGAUUUUACACCAUAUGUUGACAACAAAACUUAUUAUAAUUUAUAUUUUAUGAUUAUUAAUAUAUUGUUUAUACUUUUGUAGCACAUAUUCUCUUUAAAAUGAAAUUUUCACCAAUAAAAUUUAUUAAUAUAUUUUCAUAUUAAACUAAUAUAGAAAUUUUUGCUAAACAUACUCUUAUAUUAUUUUUUCUCGGUUUGCAAAGGAAUAUGAACUUAUUACAAUGAUUAUACAAUUUGAUUGUAGUUUUUAUACUUAUAAUUAUUGUAGUACCAAACUUGAUAAUGAAUUGGCUUACAAUGGUAUCUUCACUUCUAAACCUUACACAAAACAAUUAAUAAAUAAAAUAUCAAUUUUUUAUUUUUUUAAUUCGUUGGUAUUUUGCAUUAAGUUAGGUGUUUAAUAUGUGGUAAAAUAUUUUUUUAUUUAUAUGUAUUAUUUUUUCAUAUGCAACAAUAAAUAAUAAUUAUACUAAAAAUAAAUGUUUGCAUGGAUUUUAAAUUUUUCAGGAAUAUACAAUAAGUAAAGAACUUAGGCCUUGAAAUAUCUCAAAGUUUUCAACAAUUUUGAGAAUAAUGUGUGGCAUAAUCCUUAGAACUAUGAAAAAAAGAAAUAAAUUAAAUAAUUUAUAACUAUAUUAUCUAGGCUAAAUUUUAUACUUGCAAGUUUAUUCUAAAAGCAUAGAUUGGCUAUGUCUAAGAAAUAUGCUAACUAGAACAAUAAAAAUUAAACAAAACUUGAAUAUUCCAUAAAUAAAUAAUUAAGUAAAUAUAGAAAUAUCAUUAAAUUAUUUAAUAAAAGAAAAAAAAAUGAAAACAACAUAUUUUGGCCUAGCUCUAAAACAUGCUUUAAGACAUAACGGCACCAUAUACUCUAGGUUUUAUCUAAUAAUCUCAAGCUCUAUUUUCACUAACAUUUUCACGUACACAUUAACCUAGCCAUUG
rnacentral:lncRNA from 1 species